UGGCGGACGGGUGAGUAAUGUCUGGGAAACUGCCUGAUGGAGGGGGAUAACUACUGGAAACGGUAGCUAAUACCGCAUAACGUCGCAAGACCAAAGAGGGGGACCUUAGGGCCUCUUGCCGUCGGAUGUGCCCAGAUGGGAUUAGCUAGUAGGUGGGGUAAAGGCUCACCUAGGCGACGAUCCCUAGCUGGUCUGAGAGGAUGACCAGCCACACUGGAACUGAGACACGGUCCAG
rnacentral:rRNA from 1 species